CUUGAACAGAUCCAGCAAUGGUGAACCCAUCACCACCUUGGGCAGUCCGUGCCAAUGCAUGACCACCCUUUCCCAGAAGAAAUGUUUGUGAAUAUCCAACCUGAACCUCCUCUGGUGCAACUUGAGGCCAUCACCUCUCAUCCUAUCACUGUUACCUAGGCAGUGAGGCCAGUCCUCACCCUACUUCCAUCUCCUUUCAGCUGGUUGUAGAGAGUUGUAUCACUUCAGCUCCGAGGCAGACAGGGAAAAUGGAAACAAGACAAUGCCCACAAGACACUCAGAGGUACAGUGCGGUUGCUGAUCUCUGCCAAGCUUGUUAGCUCCACCACAAACCUUUCACUUCUCUGCCAGAGUCAGCAGGGCCUGGAUUUACAGAUGUUAAUGCACAAUUCCAGUUUCAGUGCUUAAUAUUCAAAUAAGUUAGGCACAGAAAUGCCUCUGUAGAUUUGGCAUUUACCCCCAGUAGGAUUUCAACAGGGAAUAUUUUUCCCUUGAAUACAUAUGACUAUGAGUGCCAGUGAGGACUGCAGUGUUGCCCUUUGGAGCAGACCCAAAGCUGAGGUCUUGUUCUUUGAGGCUGUACAGAACCUGUGCCCCUUUUCUUUGUUGACUUUCAGUGCUUCAAAUGUCCUGGUGAAAUUCCAGCUCUGCAGGUACAGGAGACAAAAACAGUUAAUCCUGAAUAGCUGCAUCAGGCAUCCAGGAGUGAGCAUUUUUCAGCUGGUGCAAACUACUCGUGCUGUAGUCCUUAGGGCUAGAUUGAGUUUCACCAAAUGAGAACAUGACCAAGAGCAUUGGGGAUUUUGUGGCUGAAAAACCCCAAACCACCAGAAGAAUAUUACAUCUCAGGGCAAUUAGCACUCAUAGAGCUGUCCUGAAAAAUCAGCUCUUUCUACCAUCUCUCAUUGUCUGCUUUAUAAAGAGCUGGACUGAAAUGAAGAUGUUUCUCAUGGAGGAAAGCAUGAGCCUGGAGAAAAACAGGAAAAGAAAAUCACCCUCUCAUGGAGUACAGCUGAAUUUAACAGAUGUUUGCUCAUUUACGACAAAGUCCUGGUUGCAAGAUGGGGCAACUCGUCUGGUUCUUGAAUGAAAGCAACUAUAUUACCUCGCCUCAAAGGCUGGAGAAGAGGAAACGUUAGAAAUAACAACAGAGAGGAUUUAUGGCUGAGAAAGAAAAUUUGACUGCGCUUUUAGCACCUUGCUUUCUCCAAAUAAUUAUCUGUUGCCGUUCUUUGAGUAUGACAAAGGGUACUUGAGUUGUCAGCUCAGGGUGGUGAGGCCCUGGCACAGGUUGUCCAAAGAAACUGUGGAUGCCUCAUCCUUGGACAUACCCAAGGCCAUGGGUGGGGCCCUGAGGAGCCUGAUCUGGUGGGUGGCAUACCAGUGUCUGGUAUGACAAGAAGAGGAGGGAGCCUUCUUGAGAGCCCCAUUAAAAGAAAGAUGUCUGAAUAAGGGACUAAAAUAGAUGUUAUAAGAAGUGGAAAGGAAUCAAAGUUGACAGAAGUAGCUAAAACAGAACCCUGUCAUUUUACCACCCGUGCACUUAAGGUUUGGGGCUGUUAAUUACUUCUGGCUGGUGGUAUACCAUGGCCCUUGUACCUCCCAGAUCUGGAGGUGUUCGCAGUGCUUUGCCAUCCCCUAAUGUCUACUGUACAUGCAACGGCCACAAGCAACACACCAAAACCCUCAUCCAUCAAUCUCAGCAUCACUUGAAGAGUGUGGGAAGACCAAAGCUUGGAGAAGACUCUGGGGAGACCUGGUUGUGGCCUUCCAGUACCUGAGGGGAGGUUACAGGCAGGAGGGGGACCAACUUCUUACACAGUCUGAUAGUGACACAACAAGGGGGAAUGGCUUUAAACUAAAAUGAGAGAUUUAGGUUAGAUGGCAGGCAGAAAUUUUUUACUCUAAGGGCUGUGAGGUGCUGGAACAGGUUGCCCAGAGAGGCUGUGGAUGUCCUAUUCCUGGAGGUGCUCAAGGCCAGAUUGGAUGGGGCCCUGGGCAGCCUGGUCUGGUGUGGAGGAACCAACCCAUGGCAGGGGGUUGGGUGUAGAUGAUCUUUAAGGUCACCUCCAACCUGAGCCAUUCUGUGACUCAAGGGAAUGCUAAGGGAGCUCUGGAUGCCUUUUCAAACUCUGAUCUGAAUAACUUCACUGUGCUUCAUGUAAAGCUGGUGGAGGAUAAGCAUCUGUCCCUGCACGCUCUGCUAUACUUAUGCCAUUUGUAGUCUGGAAAGAUUUUAAUAGUGAAGUACCUGUAGAACUGCACCAUGAAGGAUGAAAAACAGGGUAUACUCUGAAUACAGCACAGCAACCUCUUUCUAAAUAAAAUCAGUAAAUGCACCAACCUCCUUCACCUCCACUGAAAUCUUGGCAUGACUUUCCAGGCACGUCUGGUCCUUUGAGGCAGAGCAGAUCCUUCGGAUGGCUUUUAUCUGGGCAGCACCAAGCCGCAAUACCAGUCAGAUACAAUGCAGGCUUGUGUGAUGCUGCCAGCAGCAGGGCCAGGUGCCCGAGCCCUCUUCAUGAGGACAGAGACACGUUUGUAUAGUCACCAAUCUUGGGUAGCAGCAAACAGAGGAGAAUGGUUCCAUUCUUGGCUCAUCGCUCAGGGAGAUGAAAGGAAAAUAUUGUUUGCCUGCUUCAGCAUUGCUCUUGAAUAUUGCUUAGUUAUGGAAAGAGAGAAAGGAGGGAGAAAUGGGCAAGCCUUAGAUUUUCAGCUCUGAGAUAUUUAUACCUUCUCGCUGAUGGCUUCUAUGUAUUGGAUGACUGGCGGAUUCCUCUGGGAGAAACACAUGGGCAAAGAGGAGGAACUGUAGAUUGACUGCCUUGGAAGUCUCUGUUUGUGAUGGGCUGAAGAGAGGCUCUAUGAAUCUCGAUGACAGAACAUCUCUUCCAUGAGCAGGACUCACAUGGACAGAUGCCUGCACCCAGAAAUCUCCAAAACCACUACAGAACAGGAGGCAGAUCCAGAGUCCUAGUGAGCUGCAAAGGAUAUCUGGGAAACAGGCACUGAGAGAGACCUAUGCCACACAUGGAGUCCUGUGUCCAGCUCUGGUCCCCACAAUUCCAAUAAGAUGUGGACAAAAACAGAGACCCCAAAGGAAGGCCACAAAGAUGUUCAAAAGCCUGGAGAACCUCCUCUAUGAAGGCUCCUGUUGUGAUAUGACAAGGGGAAAUGGUUUCAGACUAAAAGAGGGCAGAGUUAGGUUGGAUAUUUUUUUUUUACAGUAAGAGUAGUGAAGCACUGGCACAGGUUGCCCAGAGAGGUGGUGGAUGCCCCAUCCCUGGAGACAGGUCAGGCUGGAUGGGGCUUUGAGUGCCUCACUGAGCUGUAAGUGUCCCUGUUUAUUGCAGGGGAGUUGAACCAGAUGGCCUUUAAGAGUCCCUUCUAACUCAGACUAUUCUACGAUUCUAUGAAAAACUUCAGGUUUUAUGUCUGUUCACCCUGAAGAAGUCUCAGGAGGGAUCUCAUUACCAUAUCCCAGUACUUAAAGGGUGGCUACAAAGAGGUUGGAGGCUCUCAGUGCACAAGGACCCAGAUGGAGAAAACAAGAAGAAAUGGGUACAAGCUGCACCUGAAGAGGUUUCGUCUUGAUAUAAGUGUCAAGGAGUGGACAUGGUCAGUGGGCACAGUGGGGGUGGGCUGGGGUUGGAACUGGGGAUUGUAGUGGUAUUUUCCAACUUCAAUGACUCUGUGAUUCCUGGGAGGCACUUAGAAGUGGGUUCACAAAGGGAACUGCCUUUCACAGUAACUUGGAUCAGAGAACUGAGUUCCUCAGUAAGGUAACUUAGCUGAGGUCCCCCCAUCUCUGCCUUGUUGGUGACUUACUCCAAAUGUUAGCCCGGAAAUAGAUAGAUUUCCUCUUUCCAGCUCUCCAGAACCUACUGGGGCUGUGUUGUGAAUGAAGUGAGCCCUCAGAACGAACCCAGCCCUCAGGCCACUCCAUCAGCACUCAAAUCGUGCAAAUCUUUAAUGUAUUACUUCUGAAGUGACAGUAAAUAAAGUUAUUCCUUAUGCCAUUGGAGAAGUUACCAUAGGCAGUGGAAACCUGAUUUCUUUUCAGGUUUACAGCUCUAUGAUGUACAUCACACUGAUAGAGUAACCUCUUAGAAAGAGGUACUACCCCGUGUGGGUAAUUAACACACUACAGCCCUGACCCCAUGACUGCCUUUGAAACUAAUUCUUUACCAGGCCUGGUCAUCAUGCUUUUAUUUGUCAUUCCUGGAACAUGCAAACUGAACUGUUUGACCUUGCAUGGGACAUGUGUAUUUUAAUAGGAGAAUCUGCUUACUAUUAGCACAUUUUUCAAGUCCUGUGCGCACCUAGACAAGAUUAUUUCUAACAGAUGACACAUGGCUAUUUGCAAUGAAGAUGAAUAUCACUUAGACAGGACGAGCUGGAGCAGAAAUAUCUCAUUUGAGUUGAGGGGGUGAACAAAAGAAAGGAAAAUACUGCUUGGAAGAGUCGAAGUCAGAAGUUAACAGAUAUACAGUCAUUGAGACUCUCCUGUCAUCCAUGUGCAAGCCCAUGGGGAGACACGUGCAAGGUAAAGUCUGGAUUUGGAUGAUGGUAAGAACCUGGGUGGAGUUCCCUCUGGUGUCUGAGAAUCCACACAACCUGGGCUGACAAUCCAGUUCUGGGUAAAGGUGUUACACCUCAAUUUCUGGGAGAAAAAGCAAGAUGGAAGUUGUGAGGAAAGCACAAAAUAUCAAUGAGCACUUGUGGAAAAGUCAUUCAAAUGAAACACCCCAUCAGCUCUGAGACCUGGAGCAUCAUGCAGAAACACGCAAGUGUCAGCACUAUCUUGGCACUGUUGGUGCCACAUCUGGGUCAGACUCUGCCACACGAUGCUGCCCAGCUCUCAGGUUUUGCAUCACACAGUAUGAACCUGAGGUCUUUGCCAGGGCCCAAGCAAGCCCUGACUCACGAAAGGAAAAAAGACUCAUGCCUAAAUGAGAAUUUACAAUACCACGAAAGCAUAAUGCUUUCUGCACAGUUUGCAAUUUGCCUACAUAGCAGCAGCAGGUAGGUAGGUACACAGUGGUUGUGAAUUGUAGACACCAGCUGAGAAUCUGGCCCUGAGAACUGAAAAACGUAUUUAAAAAAAAAAAAAGAAAAGAAAAAAGAAUAAAAAGAGAUGCUGGCAAAGCCACUUAAUGUUCACAGGCUGAAAGGAUGGGUUUUGUGAAAGCUUCACACCCAGAAAUCAGCCCAAGGCAUAGAAAAUGUCAAGCUGAAUUGCUGAAGUGUGACAAAGUCACACGCAACUCAAAGGAUGUUUGUAAUGGAAAGGCAGAACUAACAGCACAAUGUGUGUUAUGCUCCACUGCCAAGGAACAGUCCCAGAGACCUCUAAAUUCAAGUGCUCCAGGGCUGUAGGGAGCUGUAACAUGAAGAAGGGCUAUGGGCUGGCUCCUCAUCUUGUAGCAUUGUGUGUGUGAUGGAUAGGGCAAUUCUAAAAGGGAAAGGACAGUGGAUUUUCCCAGCCUACCCAGUAAAUCCACUCUUGCACUUACCAGCAUCCUUUCAGAGACGUGCAAACUCCUUGAGGCCCCAAAGCUGUGCUAGAACUCCUUCAGUGGAAGACUCUCUGAUCUCCUUGCAUUGCCUCAAUUAUAAGUAUCUUGGCCCACCUUCCUUCCAGCUUACAUUUAAAACCAGAAACACAAAACUCUGUGAAGCUACCAAGAUGGUCAGAGACCUGGAGCACGAGAGCUACAAGGACAAUUUGAGGGAGCUAGGCUAGUUCAGAAGGAAUCUAAGAGCAGCUGCUAACUACGUGAGGAGCAAUAUAGAUGAGCAAAGCCAAAUCAUUUCCUAUAGUGGUAAACAAUAGAGCAGGCAAUAGAUUAUACUGUUUCUGAUGGUCAUGUGGAUGAGAAAUGAGAAGUCGGAUGCUGCUGUAGCCUUGAGAACCAAGGGCAAGGAGGUCAUGGGUUGGGUCAUGGGCUGGCAGGACGUUUUGAGGUAGAAGAGAUCUGGAAACCAAAUGGCUUGACAUUUGGUUUUGGGAGUUUUUUGUGGGGUUGUUUUGUUGUUGUUGGUUUUUUUUUUUUUUUUUUUUUUUUGGUGGGGAUUCAGAUUCCAGAAGGACCUAACUGAUGAAAAAACCUCAUAAGUCCGAUGAAACACAUUGCAGUAGUAAGAGAGGAGGUGAGAUGUUCUGAUACCUCGAGUACUGUGUUGAGUCUUGGGCACCUCAGUACAGAAAGGACAUGGAGGUGCUGAAGCAGGUCCAGAGAAGGGCAACAAGGCUGGGGAAGGGCUUGGAGAAUAUGGCCUACGAGGAGCAACUGAAGGAACUGGGGCUGUUUAGUCUGGGGAAGAGAAGGCUGAGGGGAGACCUUAUUGAUCUCUUCCAAUAUCUGAAAGGUGCUUACAGUGAAAACAGGGUUGGUCUCUUCUCACUGGUGACAGGUGACAGGACGAGGAGAAAUGGCCUCAAGUUGUGCUAAAGGGAGGUUUAGGUUGGACAUCAGGAAACACUUCUUUACAGAAAGGAUUGUGAAACACUGGAAUAGGCUCCCCAGGGAGGUGGUUGAGUCACCAUCCCUGGAUGUCUUUAAAAACCGUUUGGAUGUGGUGCUCAGGGACAUGAUUUAGCGGAGUGUUGUUAGAGUUAGGGUAGUUUGGUUAGGUCGUGGUUGGACUCGAUGAUCUUAAAGGUCUUUUCCAACCUGAGCAAUUCUAUGAUUCCAUGACAUGGUGAGAGGAUGGGCUGAAGCCUUAGACAUCACGUUAUGGAGUCACAAAGUUAUCACGUGCCAUUUCUCCUCUUCGAUGACUCCUGCAAAAAAUCCCAGGUGAAGCUCUCAACAGAGCCUGAAAAUGGAGCUUUGGAUAUAUUUGGCAUGAGACCUCAUGUUGAAACACCAGAUAAAGAACUGAACUUCUUUUUGUCAUUGUCUCCCCAAGCCAGCCACCAUAAUUUAUUCCAGUGGGCUGGUUCAGUUUUCUUUUAGUUUCCACACAGUUGUUCAGCUUGGCGGAUGGACCCAACCCCUCCUGUGAUGUUUUGUCAGAUUUCCACCCAGAUGGCAGCCUCCUUCUCUUAAGAAACCUGUGCAAACAAAAAUGAAGUUGCCUUUUAUCUUCCACUUCUUUUGUGCUUCUUAAUGACUGGGCCAAGGAGCUGUUGCAAAACUUCUGUAGGGCACAUGAAAAGAGAUGGGAAUUAAAGAGUAAAAUAUUAAAGGUGGAAUAAUAUCUUGACUCCAAAUUUUCCAGAAAAUGUCUUCAAAUUCUUUUAAUUCAUCAUGGCCUUCAUACCUUUGACAGGCAAGAGGGAAAGGCAAGGCAAUUUUGAAUACUAUACUGAGGUGCAGAAGAAGACUUACUGUAAGUAAUUGUCUAUUCCAUCCCACCAUGGAGAUCCAGGGCAAACAUCUAUAGCCUUUCCCCUUUUUUCCUCUCAGCCGCUUCUUAUAUUCCACCACAUCACUGCCAAUCAUGCAGAAAUGAUGAAUCAUGAAGCAGUAGGCUCAUAAAUUCUGAGGCUGGAUUAGAAAUCAUGAGAAUUAAUGUAUUCUGGAUUCUUUUCUUUUGACUACUUGAUUUUGGCACAAUUAGACAUACAUAAGACGUGUAUUCUAGCACUUUCAACAUGCAUAAGGGCUAAAAUAGACUCUUCUUUUUUUUCUUCUUUUUAUUUUUAUUUUUUCUUUCCCAAAAGAGGGAGAAAUGAAGGCACAGAUACUCAGCUUCUGCAAGCAGGCCUUUAAGAAAAGGAAUAAACAUGAUGGACCAGGCUCUGAGCAGCCUGCUCAAGCUAUAGGUGCUCACUGCAGAGAAGUUGGACUAGAUGGCCUUUAAGGAUCCCUUCCAACUCAAACGAUUCUAUGUGCACAAUGAAGUGAUGAGAGUUGGCAGUGGUCUGGACUUCACAUUUCAAAAGUCUUCAUUCAGCUCUCAUUAACUUACACUAUCUAAUGUGGCUCUGUUGGAAGAGAAAGUUAAAUAUGAAGGUUCUUUCCUUCACCAUAAGAUUCCUCUUGCUGCGUUAUCAGGCAGACUAGUUUUCUAGUGGCUUCUUCUCUGCCUUGGUUUGGGAUAUUAGAGGGCUCUGGAUCAGAACCAUUUGGAGAACAGUAGAUGAAUCAUCACAGUUCACAUUCCUACUCGUGUGGUGCACCCAAGUUGCCCGUACUGCUCCAGGUCUUCUAUUAAUUUGCACCUUUUCGUGGUAGGAUUUUGUCAUCAUUUUGGAAGAAGAACGGAUACUGCUGGGCCCUGGGCUGAACUGCAUCAUCUGGGUUAAAUGAAACAAUACUCCACAAAUGAACAAGUCAUGAUCUCAUGAUAGAGCACAUCAAGAUUUCCACCAGAUGACGAGAUGGCUUUGCAACACCAAAGGCCCGGAGCCACUCAAUAUUAUCUUGCCUUCACUUCCGUGAGUGCAUUUGACUUCACUGGAAAUCAAGAGCUGAAAUACCUUCCUGGAGAUGGGCCAGAAUGGCUAUUUUAUCAUUAUCCGCUCUGCCUCUCCCUGCAGAACUAUAGAAUUUCUGGGGGUCGAAGGGGGAAACAACACACUUUUUUUGUUACUGACAAAAAAGGAAAUUAUUUUAACUGGACAUGGAGAAGAAGAAAACUCUUUUCUCCCUGUGGUAACAAUAAAAAGUUCUCAGCCAUUUUCUCACUGAUACUGCAGCAUCAACCAAGCAGCGCUGGGGCUCCAUGGGUUCAUAAACAGGCAACGUUUGGCAUCAUGCAGGUUCCAUGGAUCUCUUCCAGGUUUUUGCUACCACAAAGAGGCAGAUCCCAGGCCCAGCUGCAAGGAUGGUGAUUAAGGAAACUAUUUCCUAAAAGAGAAUAUAUAUUUUACAUCUUCCUUGCUAUAGCUUAACAGAUCAGCUACUCACCCACCCAGUUCUUCUGCAUUGCUGAUCAUUCAUGCCAGCUGGUACAUGAGUAGUUGAUCAAUGUAUGUUCUUGUUACUUGAACGAAUGUUUCUUUAUGCAGUGAGGGUCCCUAAUAUGUUGCAUGUGGUUUCCAUUUGGGGCUUUUUGGGAUCUUUUCCAGGAAGUUUCAGGUCAUUACCUCAAACCUUCCUCAGCUGAAAAAGGAUUGAGGUAAUAACCCACAAUAUCCUGGAGGAGAGAAGGAAAAAAAAAAUAAGAAAGAAAGAAAAAGAGAGAGAGGAAGAAAAAAUUCUAUGAAGCAUUGAAGACAAGAGAAUGAAAAUUGCAUGCAGGAUGUGUAGAAGGAAUGUAGCCUUUGGCCUCCAGCAAAGGUGCCAUAAAAUGUGCUGUAUUGAAGCAAUAUGUCAAAAUGCAAAACCUUGGGCAGGGAAAGCAAGCCGUGCAAAAUUGAAACCGUUGAGACUGCUGCGAAGUGGUGGGCCUGAUCCCCAUCCUCUGAUCAACUUUCACCUCACAGGGCUGAGCGCUAAUUAGUUAAGAGGCUCCACUGAAAUAAUGGCUGGCUUCUUAGGAUGAAAGGGAAGCAGAAAGUGCUGCAUGCUAAGAAAUGCCUGAGGUGGCUCAAAAAGAUCAUAAGGAAUCACUACCAAGGGAAGGUCAGUUUUAACUUUAAGUGCAACUUACCCAACUCUAUUCUCUGCCUCAGCUGAUUCUAUACCUCAUUGUUAUUCACUCAUUUUUCCUCUCCCCACCUGAAAAUUGCCAUUUACGUCCACCCUGUGUUUUCAGGUUGGGAGCCAGAUGUCCACCAACCAAGCUAACUGACCCCAGGCAUCCGCCAAGGGUUUUCAGUGCCUACAGCCCUUUUCAAGGAGAAGGAAACAGAGAAGGGCUGUAUUUAUAUCCCCAGCAUGGGCAAAUUACUGUAAAAGAGGGCUUUUGCAAAGUACUGAGCAUUCCCUGCUUCUUCUGUCUUCUCUUGGGACUCGAGGUGCUCACCAGUUUCAAUUACCAUUGGUGGGUGCCUUCGAUGCCCUGGGUACUCAGUGAAGCUUCAACUCAAAAACAGCUGCACUCUUAAGGGAGUUCUGAAAUGAUCUACGUAAGAUAAGAAAGACUGGAGCAUCCCCAAAUGGAAAAUGUUUGGUGGUGCUCUGGGUGAAAAAUGAAAUUUCAAAGCAGAUUUAGAAGCAGCUGGAACUACUGACUGCCAAGUGAUGGAUGGAGCUGUUCUCUUCUGUUUCUUUGUUUUCUAGUUGUUAGCCUGCUGCAGUGAAAGUGGUUUCCAUUACUUUAAAGGAUGGGGUCAGCUGUCUGGGUACUGAGGGACAUGACAGGAGAUGUAAUUAUUCCUCAGGUUGUCUACAGGUUGGUGUGCUGCAGAUAUUCAUUACAGCACUGAAGCAACAUUGUGCCAACAGGUAGCAGUGGGGAGCAGGUUUUACCCUGCAAGUCUGUGGUUUCCAAAAUUUCAAGAUGACUCUGGGUAGCUACAUCAGAAGAGUUUUCAGGGACCUGAUAUUCAGGUGUUCAGUAACCUCUCAUUGCCUGCCCCCACUCUUCUCUGCCUCUUCACUUUACCAGCGAAUUCAGCCAAAAUGAAGUUGGAAACCCUUUGCCUCUGCUCUUGUAAAGCAAAGCUUCCCAAAUUCAUGGUAAAUAAAUUUCUCUUGAUGUCCACUCUGAUCCUCCCCUGGCACAACUUUGUGCCGUUCCUGCAUAUCCUGUCAUUGGUUCCCAGGGAGAAGAGCCCCACACCUCCCUCUGCACUUCCCCUCCUUAAGAAGUUGUAGAAGCACUGAGGUUGCCUCUGAGCCUCCUAUUUUCCAGGCUAGACAACCCAGUCCUCAGUGCUCCGUAACAGUAGGGAUCAUAGAAUUGUAGAAUCACCAAGGUUGGAAAAGACGUACAAGAUCAUCCACUCCAACUGUCAAUUUUCACAGUGCUAAGGUUUUGCAAAGAUGACUCUUUCUUCUCCACUCCUAGACCAGACUCUGUCUUUACAGCUAACACAUUUUCUUAACAUCCAUAGAUAACUGACAUAGUUUUUGUGUACAUCAAGGACAAUAUGUUGGGUUUUUCCUUAAGACUUGAGACAAAAGACAAUAUUCAAGUGUGCAUUUCCCUUCCACUUCUCACUCCUUCUCUAUUUCAAGACUCUGGUGUCAUCACCUGCCAACACUAUCCAGCACAGCCAUCCCAAAAAAGCCAUGAACCCACCCCAGGAAGUCAUGAAAUCAACAUAGGAUUCAGGAGGUGUUUCUGAGACAAGACACGUACUGCUUUUCUUUCACCUUCUGGUUUCUACAGAGCAUCAACUGACUACAGACUGUGAUUUUGUACCUCUGCCAUUACGAAUGCUUGGACAUUCCAUUCUGCCUAAGUGACAAGUGACUCCCACAGCUUGCAUUGAUGGCACUUCUGAAAACAUUUUUACUGACAGAAUAUCGUUUAAAUGUGCCUUUGCUUCUCAUUUUGGGGGUUGGAACUAGAUGAUCUUUGAAGUCCUUCCCAACUCAAGCCAUUCUAUGAUUCUGUGAUGUUAACACUCCUACUCCAAGAAAUGAAUGUCUGAGUUCUCUUUGAAUGCAAGAUGAUACUUCAGGAAAUAUCUCCACUGGCUCAUCUUGGACUUCAGAAAUAGUACAUAAGAGGACUAAAUUCACAAAAUAAAUCUGAAAACUACUAAAAUCAUGUAUCAGAGUAAAUACCAUAUUUUGUAGUUCUGAAAAGAGAAUAUUUUGGGGUGUGGGAUAUUCUGUGUUUUGGAGCAAAAUAAGGUUUUUGUUUUGUUUUGUUUUGUUUUUUUCUGUAGUGUGCUGUGCACUUCUAGGAAAAAAAAUAAAAAUAAAACUCUUUUUCAGGUUCUGGACCCUUUCAACAAUCAUAAUCAAAUCCACACACUUGGAAUAAUAUCCUAAACCAGAAAUCCACUGAAGAGCCUGCAGACAGGCCAGGUUUAGAUUAAUAAACAGCUUUAGAUCAUAGUGUAAGUCCAGGAGGGACUAUUAGCUCAUCUGACCUGAGUAUUGCAGGCUAUUUAAUGAUACCCAGUUACCUGUAUAUUAAACUCAAUAACUCGUGUUUGACUGCAGCUCAUCCUCGGAAAAUAAGCUCAUCACUGUUCAAGGAUGUGAGAGAUCUUCCAGUUCUCUUGGUGCUUUUUUCCCAGAGCUAACCUCACUCACUUCCACACGUCCAUGCCUUAUAAUUUGAAUUUGUCAUGCCUUAUCUAUUAGACAUCUGCUCUCGUUAGCUUUGCUCUUUCUCCGCUGCAUGAGAGCCCCUGGCAACUUGUGCUCUGCUCUGCACAUUCCUUACGUGGCAACCAAGGCACAAUGGUAUUUGCCUCGUGAUGGCCGAGCAGAUUGAAUGUUUAAGUCUAUUUUUGUGAGUUCUUUUCCAUUAUCUUCAGCCAUCUCUAGAAGUCAAGCAUCUGGCUGAUGCGAGUAGUCCAGGCUCAUUUUUGGGCAAAGGAAUUUUCUCCGAAGGGGUUGAUUUUUGUCUGCUGUUUAUGGCUGUCAUUACCUGUGUGGGACAAAAUGCUUGCCUGCUGUGUGGCUAAUAUCUGUUGAGAUAAACCCCACUCCUGAAGACUGAAGAAAUGCCCUGCAGGGCCGAAAAGGCAGACAAUGAAGAAAAUGUUUUGUAAUUAGAGAUUCAAGACAGCAGUCUGCUCAGCUAAUUAGUACAACAAACACUCGUGACCCUGUGAAGUUGAUGAUGAAGAAAGAGAAAUGUAAAAGCUCAGAUAAGUAAGUCUAUCCUUUGGGAGGGUGACUUGCUCUCCAAUACACUUCAAGUUUCUCAGACAUAAAGGAACAAAGCUGUACCACAGAUUCACAACCUUUUGCUUGCCUGCUGAAUAAUGUGCCACAACAGUUACUUCAAAAUGGUUAGGUAUCUGAAUAACGUCCAAAGAAAGUACCGUGAAGAUUCGCACUAAUUCUGUUGAUUUUCAACAGAAAAGGGGAAGACAUGGGGUUUCCCAAUCCCAAUCCUGAAAACCAUGCCUGUUAGGGUAUCCCCAGUAGGUGAUUCUUGAGGAUUAUCAUUGGUUGGUCUUUUCCUCCCAAAGGCAGACGUUUGUAAAGAGACAACUAAAACCCACCCAGGAUCUCCCCACACUGAGAGAACACAUCCAUCUGCCUUCACUCAUCUUAAAACGUUCUUCAACGCUGUGUUUCCUUCAAUGGUCUGUGUAGCACAGUGUUAUUUCCUUUUUCAUGUAUUUCUGCUCUUUCCCUAGCGUAUCUCUUUAUUUGUUUAUUGAAUUAUCCUUUGAACUUGAUUCUGCUUCUUUUCAGAGACCUUCAAAUUACUCUUUCUAUGCUAAUCUUCACCUUCCUUUCAGGCCCCACAUUGGUCUGUGCUGGCCUUCAAUCCUACUGAGGCUUAACAAUGAAUUUAAAUUGCAAACUCUUCCAACUAUUUCUACUUUUCUGCAGUAAAAAUCUCGGUACAUUCUAAGAUCACAAUCAAGAUUCCUCUGGGCGUUUUACAUUCCCUCUGAGUCAGCUGAGCAGAGGUCAAGAGCAUUUCAGCGUUGCCUUUUCCAACAUUUCAUUCCUCCCAUGCCUAGCAAAUCCAGUAACGUUGUGAUUCCUGUUUGCAUAAGAUCCUUCGGAUCUUUCCUUUUGCUCUUAUCUACAGCUUUAAACCACAUCUUGGCUGUUUCCCAGGUGGCACCAUGCACAAUUGCUUCUACUUCUCCACACACUUGCUAGAAAUCAGCACCCUCUCUUGCUCUCUCCUGAGUCUCAGUUGAUUUCAGCCAUUUAACAUACAGUCUCCCCUUAUAUUUUCUGUCAUCUGAGUGCCAUUUUCUUUUAUGACUACAGCCUCGAAGGAGACUAGAAAUAGGCCAUAAACCAUCAUUUUUUGGCACUUUGGUAGUUCCUUCAGUCCAACUACUUGGCAAGCAGUAAUUUAAGCUUCAGCAUGAAUGUCUUGCCCACUUACAUCAAGUAGGGUUUGCUGCAAUGUGAGCUAACUUUCUCUUGUGGAUAUUUCAACUCUUUGUGCUAUGGACAGGAGCUGGCAAAAGCUAUCUUUGUCUUUGAAUGCACUGCUGCACUGACCAGAGAUCCCUAUUAGGAGGACCCUCCCAUGAGAAUGUUUUGCAAACACGGGCUGAUCUGAAGCCCACUGAAUGCAGUGGGAGCUGUACAGUAACUUAUCACAGUGGUGCAGCAAACUCUACAAAGCACAAUAACGGAUCUAAGGUAGGUUGCACAGGUAGAGGUGUUUUUUCAUUUACUGGUCUUUAACUUUCAUUUCUGCAAGGACAGCAAUAUUAACAGAUAAUAAUUCUUACCCAACCUGGUACUCUGCUCUUGAAGAGGACCUGUUUUAAAUCUUAGAAUCAUAGAAACACUGGAGUUGGAAGGCACCUUUAAAGGCCAUCUGGUCCAACACCCCCCUGCCAUGAACAGGGACAUCUACAGGUCCAUCACAUUGCUCUUAAUUCCCUGUGACCAUUAACAUUGCAGUCUCUGCUUAUGGUUGGCUGCCUUGUAUCCAAGUUUCCUCUAUUAACCAAUUCAUAGAGCCCCCCUGACCUCAACACAGACCUGUUGUAGUGUAUCCAGAGGAGGGCCAUAAAAACGAUCCAAGGGAUGGAGCACAGAAUCAUAGAAUAGAAUCACCAAUGUUGCAAAAGACCUCCAAGAUUAUCGAGUCCCACUGUACACCUAUCACCAAUAUUUCUCACUAAACCUCAGCAAAACAUCAUGUCCCUCAGCAAAACAUCUAAACGUUUCUUGAACACCUCCAGUGUUGGUGACACUCCCACCUCCCUGGGCAGCCCAUUCCAGCACCUGGCCUCUCUUUGGGGGAUUUUUUUUCCUAAUAUCCAACCUGAACAUCCCCUGGCACAACUUGAGGCCAUUCCAUCUCAUCCUCUUGCUAGUUGCAUGGGAGAAGAAGCCAACACCCACCUCACCACCACCUCCCUUCAGGCAGUUGUAGAGUGAUAAGGUCUCCCCUGAGCCUCCUCUUUACCAGACUAAAUAUUCCCAGUUCCCACAGUCACUCCUCAUAAGACUUGUGCUCCAGACCCCUCACCAGCUUUGUUGCCCUUCUCUGAAUCCCUACUGUUGAGGACAGGCUGAGAGCUGGGGUUGUUCAGCCUGGAGAAGAGGGCCACAGGGAGACCUGAUAGUGGCCAUUCAGUAUCUCAAGGUGGGCUUUAAGAAAGAAGAGGAUGGACUCUUCAGCACGUUCUGUUGUGAUAGGACAAGGCAGAAUGGUAUCAAACUAAAAGAGGGGAGACUUAGAUUGGAUAUAAGAAGGUUUUACAAUAAAGAUAGUGAAGCACUGGCAGAGGUUGCCCAGAGAGGUGGUGAGUGACCCAUCCCUGGAGACAUUCAAAGUCUUGCAUGUCUGGCAAUUGAAUUCAGAGCAAACGGAACUUCUGUGCAUAAAAUAGGAGAAAAUUAAGACAGAGACCCCCACUGUUCAUUUAAAACAACAACAACAACAAAAAAGCUAGCAAACAAGCAAACAAAGCAACAAAUCCAAGGAAAGAAUUCUCCAGAAUGUCUAAAAUGCAGGACCUUUGUCUACUCUUGAAAAUAAAACUUCCAGCAUGGAAAAAUCGAAUAGAAACAGAGGAAUUCCUUUAACCUUUGUAAAAAUACGUUCCUUUCUGCCAGUAAAAGCCAUUCCUUUUGCAACACCAUUUGGAUAAUUUGCCUCUACAUCUUGUUCAUCUGUCACCUCAUAGGCCUCCGAUUUUUCUGUAUUUUCUUCACCGGUCUGUAUAUAAGAAAAAGUGUGGGGGAGAAAAAAAAAAAAAGAGGCACACAUUUUGGCAGGAAUCCCUGCCUGGAAUGAAUAUAAAACCUUGUUUUAUUUAAGUGAUCUGCCUGUGUGUGUGUGUGAGAGAGAGAGAGAGAGGGAGAAGGGAAACAAAUAAAGAUAGUUUUGAAAAAAGUGAGUGUGAAAGAAAUUCCCCAGAGAGACAAAUAAAGGGCUUUUUUUAUUGCUAAUAACACAUGUUCUGGCAUGUGCUUUGCACGUUGUUAACCCACCUUGAAAGCAAUGAGUUUGGUUGUUGUUUUCAGAACUUUGGUUCUUUCCUUUUCUUUUUUUUUUCUUUUUCUUUUUUCAUAUAUAUAUUUUUUCUAGUUUUGGAGUUGUUGCUGUGAGAGGAAAGAAGAAUCAUUA
rnacentral:lncRNA from 1 species